rnacentral:sRNA from 1 species
AUUAAGGCCUGUGGGACUCUUCCUUUCCUAGAUGAAAACCUUCUAACUGUUGCUAAUUUUUCCGUAGGUUGCCCAUCCUCCUGGAUAUCCUUUGUUCACGCUGGUGGCUAAACUGGCAAUUACACUGUUUCCUUUUGGUUCAAUUGCCUACCGCGUCAAUCUUCUUUGUGGCUUAUUUGGAGCAGUAGCUGCAUCAUUACUUUUUUUCACCGUUUUCAGAUGAAUAGUAUUCCAUCAGUGAGAAAACUACUAUGCAAUCAGUACCUUUCUUAGGAAUCUUAUCUGGGUCUCAUGAAUUUUGUGGACCAAAAAAAGAAGACAGUUAUGUUUUAAGCAGAGAAUUCUGUUGCUCACAUUUGAUGCUUAAUAGCAUCACAUCAUCCUUACUCCAGUGGAGAAUUUCUGUCAUUUGCAUGAUCUGGGCUUUCUGGCUCAUCUGCUGGAGGAAUCCUUGCUGCGGGGGUGUUUUCAUUUUCUCGUCUAACAUGGCAGUGGUCCAUUGCAGCAGAGGUUUUUAGCUUAAACAAUCUCUUUGUGGGGCUGCUUAUG